GAACCAUUCAUGGGAACCUGGUAAUUAGCUAGCAACUGAAGAAAGCACACCUGAAUGCAAAAGCACGAACAAGAAAGAACAAGGGUGAUCAAUGAUGCCCUAGCUUCGAAAGGAAGAGAGGAAGAAGGAGAAGAUGUUCUUAGUUGAAAGAGCUUUAUUGAAUUCAGUAAUAUGAAUCAACUUAUAAUCCUUGACCUAGUUACAUAUAUA
rnacentral:lncRNA from 1 species